AAACGGCUUUGUCAAGAUUCCCAUUUAGGUCACCACAGAGCACAGAGUAGAGUUCCCUGUGCUAUACAAUGGAAAAGCUUAAAGGAGGUGGAGAGAUCAGCAGUGAGCUUCCUAGGCUUUCCCCAGG